ensembl:lncRNA
GGAUCCGAGCCGCAUCUGCAACCUACACCACAGCUCAUGGCAAUGCCGGAUCGUUAACCCACUGAGCAAGGGCAGGGACCGAACCCGCAACCUCAUGGUUCCUAGUCGGAUUCGUUAACCACUGCGCCACGACAGGAACUCCACUAUUUUAUUUUUCAUAUAAUCUCUAACUCUGAGAAAGACACUUGAAGCUGCCUUCAAGCUCUAAUUCUGCUAUAAAAAAAUAAAGGAAGUUUGUAUAAUCAGCUAAUGACUGCCGUUGAUUCAUGUUCCAUUAAUUUUUUUGUUAGUUUGUUUCAAAUCUUAUUCUAAUUCUUUAUUAUUUUUUAUCAUUUAUUUAUAUAUAUAUAUAUUUUUUCUCCACUGUACAGCAUGGUGACCCAGUUACACAUACAUGUAUACAUUCAUUUUUCUCACAUUACGUGUUCCAUCAUAAGUGACUAGACAGAGUUCCCAGUGCUACAGUGGGAUUAGCAGGAUCCCAUUGCUAAUCCAUCUUGAAGGCAACAUUAUGCAUCUAUUUACCCCAAGCUCCCAGUUCCUCCCACUCCCUCCCCUUCCCCCUUGGCAACCACAAAUCUAUUCUCCAAGUACAUGAUUUUCUUUUCUGUGGGACGUUUCCUUUGUACCAUAUAUUAGAUUCCAGAUAUAAGUAAUAUGGUAUUUGUCUUUCUCUUUCUGACUUACUUCACUCAGGAUGAGAGUCUCUAGUUCCAUCAUUUUGCUAUGAAAUUUAAAACAAAUGUUAAAUAUUUUCCUUUUUAUCUGUGUUUUUGGUUUGCAGUGGAUAAUGCUAUGCAAGAGCAAACUAACUGUGGUAACCAAUUCAAAAUAUACCAAAGAAUCAAGAUACUUGUGAACAGCAAAUACUUUUCAUAAUUAACAGAUUUUAAAAAUGCAAAAUAUUUAUCAUAUUACAAUUCAGCUGUUACAUAAAUUGCUUCUUAUUAUGGUUAUCUCUAGACUUUAUAGAGUUUUAUCAAUUGCUGUUAUAUAAAUUGCUUCUUAUUCUGGUUAUCUCUAGACUUUGUAAUAAUUUUUCCAGAAACAUAUUGACUUGAAGUAGAAAAUUCUACAACUGUAAUAAUCCUCAUCAAAAUGAAUAUCCUCCUGAAAAAUAAAGUCCAGAAUAAGUGUGUUAUUUAUAGAAAUCAAUUAAUCAGUUUUUACUGUAAGAUGAUACCCCAGGCAGGGCCAGAACUAAAAACAUCUGCAUAGACCUUAAGCAUCUAUGCCAAAGAGGAAUUGCUGACCAGUAUUUUACCAUUUUUCUCUUCAGAAGUAUCUGAAGAUCUGGGAAGCAUCUUUUUCCCAUAUUCCCCUUAGAGUUCAUGAAAACCACAUCAUUACAGAAAAAAAUAAUUUUAUAAAUCAGUGUUUUGGACAGAUUCCAAAUUUCUACUAUAGAACUCUCUGCACUGACUGAUCCUUCAAAAAAAAGCAUCUAUACCUAGUAUCACUGUGCAUAUUCCCACAAAUUUUUCAAUAUGCUAAAAAAUAUGAUUAAGAACAUUUGCUAAUAUUUAUUGAGUGUGUAUUGAGGGCUUUAAAUAGUUUUAUUUAAUCCUCACAUAAUCUCAUAAAUCAAUAUUAUUAAUCCUUAUUUUUAUAGAUGAGAGAACUAAAACAUGGAGCAAUUAAGUAUCUUACCAAAUAUCUCAGAGCUAGGAAAGUAGACAAGUCAUCUGAAACAUGCAGAUCUCUUUAUAAACCAUAUCCUUAAGCUUGUUUUGUGUUUCUUAAUAGAUCAUAAAUGAUAUUGAGGCAACAUUGGAACAAAAAUGCUAUUAAAAUUAAGUGGAAAAGUGGGAGAAUAUAGGUAACAAAUAUAUAUAUAGGUAAGCAAAUACAGUGAUCUAAUUCGGAUUGAUGAUACACAAAAUAAACCAAGUCUUGCCUUUAAACAUUUAUAAACAUCUAAUAUGUAUCUUUGAGGUGUUAGAUUAUCUUUUAUGUUAACACAAAUAAAUAAUUACUGUAUGGAGCUCACCAUCUAAUUGAGGACACAUUAAAAUUAUAGUAGUUAUAAUAAAAAGGAGACAGUUUGAAAUUAUGGAGGUAAUGUUAUAAUUUGUCUGUUUCUAUCCUGUGUGAGUUAAAAGGCUAACCUCAAGGCGGUAACUUGCUUAAGGUGGUAUUGUUGCAAGAUGGAGCUGGUGCAGUGGCUUCAAUAGGAAGAUCAAAGUGGAAUUUUUAGAUUUAAAGAAGCCAAUUCAGAUGAAAUACAGAAUGAGAGGUGAAGAAUGGUAUCAAAUUACCUACAGAGAGAGGCAUGAGUUGAAUCUUGAAUACAUAUUUAUAUCAAGAACAAUGGGCUGUUUUGGAAAAUUUUUAGCUCAGGAAUAACACAAAUAUAUUUAUAUUUAAAAUAUAUCACUCUGAUGCCCAGAUUCAAAAUUGUAAGGUGGGAAGGGGAAGAUGAAAUGGAAUCUGUUCUACAAGUCCAGGUGAGAUAGAUUUCAACCACAUUGGUGAUAUUAGGGAUGGAGAGGUUUUUUUUUUAAUUUAAAAAAAUUUUUUUGCUUUUUAGGGCUGCACCCAUGNAAAAAAAAAAAGAAUUAAAAAAAAAAACAAAUAAUAUGGAUAAAUCCUUCUCCAUAGAUAAAUAAAAAAUAUUUCUAAUAAGAAUUUUAAAAUAAUUGGAAGAAAUUGACUUUACUUAUUUUUAACCAUAAAAAGCUAGUAGCUAAAAAUCACAUGAAGCAUGAGUUGUAAGAUGAAAGAAAUCCACGAUUCAAUUUUUUGUUAGCUUGGCAAAUAUAAUUAUGGUUUUAGUUUUCAAUUAUAUUUCUAGAGGAAAAGAAAAGUAUUUAUUGAUUUUUAAAUUACUGGUAAAAUGUAUAACAGUUGUAUUUUUAUGUUGAGAAGAUUUUAAUGGUGACAUGUUUGAAAACUGCAGACAACACAAAUAUAUAUUUCUUCUUUCUCUUGGCACAUAAAAAUAAUAGUAAAACAAAGCAAUACAUAGUAUAACCACAACAAUAAAGAAUACCAAAUGGAGACCAUGAAAACAUGAGAAAUGUUAGUAAAUUUCUAGAAAACAGAAAACAAUAGACACAAUGUUGACUGAUGACAUUUGAAACCACAUUCUAGUUGACAAGUAAAAAGGGUUGUAACUGAUGAGUUGGCUAGACUGCCUGCCAGGCUACAGAAGGCAGUAGUGAGAAGUCUAGUUGAUUGCAAGGUCACAGGAGUGAUUGUCUAUGCCUAUCCACAAGUCUAUCCUGCAGAUAGGUAAUCUCUUCUCCACAUAUAAACGUUUAAUUUUGAAAAUGUUAUAUAAAUGGAAUCAUACUGUAUAUAACUUUUGGGACUUUUUGUUGUUGUUGUUCAGCAUAAUUCUUUGAAGAUUGUUCCAGGUUGCUGUGUGUAUCAGUAGUUUAUUCUUUUUUAUUGUUUUUAUUGUUUUAUUGCUGAGUAAUAGUCUGUUACAGAUGUACCACACUUUCCUUAGAAGAUAUCUAGGCUGGUGUCAGUUUUUUGGCUAUUGAAAAUAAAGCUGCCAAAAACAACUGUGUAAAAGUCUUUGUGUGAACAUAAUUUUUAUUCUGCUAGGAUAAAAUCUUAGAAGUUGAGACAGGUGGUAGCUGCUUAUUUACUUUUCAGAAAAAAUUGUCAUCAAAUUAUUUUCCAGAAUCCCUUGCCUUUUUACAUUCCCAACUGCAAUGUAUGAUCUAAUUUCUCUAUACUGUUAUCAGCAUUUGGUGUUGUCACUUUUUUAAAUUUUAGCCAUUCUUAUAACAAUUUAGUGAUAGAUAUUUAUAGUUUUUUUGCAGAUAGGAUGAUUGAAAAUCAACUUUUAUAAUUUUAAAUAAAAUAUUUUAUAUAUGACUUGGGCAGAAAUAAUGGACAUUAGUGCCCCCAUCCUCAUUCUUGGGCUUAAGUGUCCUCCAGUAAAAUGGCCAAUGUGCCAGGAAAAUUGGAAACAGAGGGGAAAAAAAAAAUGGAACUGGAGUUCCCUUGUGGUACAGCAUGUUAAGGGUCAAUCAUUGCCAUUUCAGUGAUUUGGAUUGCUGCUGUGAUGUGGGCUCGAUCCCUAGGCCAGGAACUUCCUCAUGCCAUGGACAUGGCCAAAAAAUUAUAAAUUGUACUAUGAAACACAAAACUAAAAUUCUAAUUUAAAUCUUCAGACAAAUCAAGUAUACUUCAAUUAAAAAAACUUCAGAGUUUAAAAAUUUAUAGAAUCCAUUAAAAAGAUACAGCAAAAAAUAAUUGCAAAAUAAGCAGUUUCCUAGAAACUAA